rnacentral:rRNA from 1 species
GAUGAACGCUGGCGGCGUGCCUAAUACAUGCAAGUCGAGCGAACAGACGAGGAGCUUGCUCCUUUGAUGUUAGCGGCGGACGGGUGAGUAACACGUAGGUAACCUACCUAUAAGACUGGGAUAACUUCGGGAAACCGGAGCUAAUACCGGAUAAUAUUUCGAACCGCAUGGUUCGAUAGUGAAAGAUGGCUUUGCUAUCACUUAUAGAUGGACCUGCGCCGUAUUAGCUAGUUGGUAAGGUAACGGCUUACCAAGGCAACGAUACGUAGCCGACCUGAGAGGGUGAUCGGCCACACUGGAACUGAGACACGGUCCAGACUCCUACGGGAGGCAGCAGUAGGGAAUCUUCCGCAAUGGGCGAAAGCCUAACGGAGCAACGCCGCGUGAGUGAUGAAGGUCUUCGGAUCGUAAAACUCUGUUAUUAGGGAAGAACAAACGUGUAAGUAACUGUGCACGUCUUGACGGUACCUAAUCAGAAAGCCACGGCUAACUACGUG